UAUGAGGGGAACCGCCUGAACUGAAACAUCUAAGUAGGGCGAGGAAGAGAAAUCAACCGAGAUUCUGUGAGUAGUGGCGAGCGAAAGCGGAAGAGGCUAAACCGAAUGUAGCAAUACGUUCGGGGUAUUGGACAGCAAUAAGCAUUGAUAAGUUUUAGCUGAAAUGUAUGGGAAGACAUAUCAGAGAGUGUGAGAGUCACGUAAGCGAAAAGACGAGUCAGCGAGCUGUAUCCGGAGUACCGCGGGACACGAGAAAUCCCGUGGGAAGACGGGGGGACCACCCUCCAAGCCUAAAUACUACCUAAUGACCGAUAGCGAAUAGUACUGUGAAGGAACGGUGAAAAGAACCCCGGGAGGGGAGUGAAAAAGAACCUGAAACCCUAUGCUUACAAGCACCGAGAGCACGUCAAAGUGUGAUCGGGUACCUUUUGUAGAAUGGUCCGGCGAGUUAUUGUAUGCGGCAAGGUUAAGCACUUAAGGUGUGGAGCCGAAGCGAGAGCGAGUCUUAAUAGGGCUAGUAAGUCGUAUGCAAUAGACCCGAAACCGAGUGACCUAUCCAUGUCCAGGUUGAAGUGGAGGUAAAACUCCAUGGAGGACCGAACCCACGUCCGUUGAAAAGGCCGGGGAUGAGGUGUGGAUAGCGGAGAAAUUCCAAUCGAACUCGGAUAUAGCUGGUUCUCUCCGAAAUAGCUUUAGGGCUAGCCUCGUGACAGAUUACUGGAGGUAAAGCACUGAAUGGGCUAGGGGUCGAAAGAUUACUGAACCCUAUCAAACUAAGAAUGCCAGAUAAUCGAUUCACGGGAGUCAGACAGCGUGAGAUAAGUUUCGUUGUCGAAAGGGAAACAGCCCAGACCCACAGCUAAGGUCCCUAAAUACGUUUAAGUGGAAAAGGAUGUGGAGUUGCAUAAACAACCAGGAUGUUGGCUUAGAAGCAGCCAUACAUUAAAAGAGUGCGUAAUAGCUCACUGGUCGAGUGACUCUGCGCCGAAAAUUCAACGGGGCUAAAACGUAUACCGAAGCUUGGGCUUCAAGAGCGAUCUUGAGGGGUAGGAGAGCGUCGAAUGAGAGGAGAAGUCAGAGCGGAAGCGCUGGUGGAUUUCAUUCGAGUGAGAAUGCCGGAAUGAGUAGCGAGAAUUAUGUGAGAAUCAUAAUGGCCGAAAAUCUAAGGUUUCCUGAGGAAGGUUCGUCCGCUCAGGGUAAGCCGGGAGCUAAGGUGAGGCGGAAACGCGUAGCCGAUGCACAUACGGUUGAAAUUCCGUAGCCGCAGAAAUACUUAAGUACAGGGACGCUUUGAAAGUUGUGAAGCCGGGCGAUGGUUGACCCGGUCGAAAGGGACCGAAAAUUAGUAGGGAAGUCACAAUGGACGGAGACAAGAAAAGCUGUAUGAAUGUAUAAUGCGCCCGUACCGCAAACCGACACAGGUAGAUAGGAAGAAGAUUCUAAGGCCAACGGGAGAAGGGUUGUUAAGGAACUCGGCAAGUUGACCCCGUAACUUAGGGAUAAGGGGUACUUGAGAAAUCAAGUCGCAGAGAAUAGGCCCAGGCGACUGUUUAGCAAAAACACAGGUCUCUGCUAAAUCGAAAGAUGACGUAUAGGGGCUGACACCUGCCCGGUGCCGGAAGGUUAAGAGGAGAUGUGAGAGCAUUGAAUUGAAGCCCCGGUAAACGGCGGCCGUAACUAUAACGGUCCUAAGGUAGCGAAAUUCCUUGUCAGGUAAGUUCUGACCCGCACGAAUGGUGUAACGAUCUGGGCACUGUCUCAACAACCCGCCCGGCGAAAUUGUAGUACCGGUGAAGAUGCCGGUUACCCGCGACUAGACGGAAAGACCCCAUGGAGCUUUACUGUAGCCUAAUAUUGGAUUUCGGUAUUUCAUGUACAGGAUAGGUGGGAGACUGGGAAGCAUCGGCGUCAGCUGAUGUGGAGUCGACCUUGGGAUACCACUCUUGGAGUGCUGGAAUUCUAACCUGCGGCCCUGAAUCGGGUCGGGGGACAUUGUUAGGUGGGCAGUUUGACUGGGGCGGUCGCCUCCAAAAGAGUAACGGAGGCGCUCAAAGGUUCGCUCAGCAUGGAUGGAAACCAUGCAGUAGAGUGUAAACGCAGAAGCGAGCCUAACUGCGAGAAUGACGGUUCGAGCAGUAACGAAAGUUGGAGUUAGUGAUCCGGCGGUAUGUGAGUGGAAAUGCCGUCGCUCAACGGAUAAAAGCUACCCUGGGGAUAACAGGCUGAUCUCCCCCAA
rnacentral:rRNA from 1 species